rnacentral:rRNA from 1 species
AGUGAACGCUGGCGGUAGGCCUAACACAUGCAAGUCGAACGGCAGCACAGUAAGAGCUUGCUCUUACGGGUGGCGAGUGGCGGACGGGUGAGGAAUACAUCGGAAUCUACUUUUUCGUGGGGGAUAACGUAGGGAAACUUACGCUAAUACCGCAUACGACCUACGGGUGAAAGCAGGGGAUCUUCGGACCUUGCGCGAUUCGAUGAGCCGAUGUCGGAUUAGCUAGUUGGCGGGGUAAAGGCCCACCAAGGCGACGAUCCGUAGCUGGUCUGAGAGGAUGAUCAGCCACACUGGAACUGAGACACGGUCCAGACUCCUACGGGAGGCAGCAGUGGGGAAUAUUGGACAAUGGGCGCAAGCCUGAUCCAGCCAUACCGCGUGGGUGAAGAAGGCCUUCGGGUUGUAAAGCCCUUUUGUUGGGAAAGAAAAGCAGCAGGUUAAUACCCCGCUGUUCUGACGGUACCCAAAGAAUAAGCACCGGCUAACUUCGUG